rnacentral:rRNA from 1 species
GAUGAACGCUGGCGGCGUGCCUAAUACAUGCAAGUCGAGCGAACAGACGAGGAGCUUGCUCCUCUGACGUUAGCGGCGGACGGGUGAGUAACACGUGGAUAACCUACCUAUAAGACUGGGAUAACUUCGGGAAACCGGAGCUAAUACCGGCUAAUAUAUUUAACCGCAUGGUUCAAUAGUGAAAGACGGUUUUGCUGUCACUUAUAGAUUGAUCCGCGCCGCAUUAGCUAGUUGGUAAGGUAACGGCUUACCAAGGCAACGAUGCGUAGCCGACCUGAGAGGGGGAUAGGAAAAACAGGAAAGGAGAAAGGGUACAGGCACCAAGGGGAGGAAGAAGGAGGAAAACGUCCGAAAUGGGGGAAAGCGUGAAGGAGAAACGCGGCGGGAGUGAGGAAGGUCUACGGAUCGAAAAAAGCUGUUAGUAGGGAAGAAAAAAUGGGAAAGUAAAUAUGAAGGUAUGGAGGGUACAAAAAAAGAAAGCAACGGGAAACUACGU